GGGCCAGUGAUCUAGUUGGCUAUGAUGCAGGCCUGACAUGCCUGAAGUCCGGGGUCCGAAUCCUCGCUGGCCCACCA
rnacentral:tRNA from 1 species